UUUAUGGAGAGUUUGAUCCUGGCUCAGGAUGAACGCUGGCGGCGUGCCUAAUACAUGCAAGUCGAGCGAACGGACGAGAAGCUUGCUUCUCUGAUGUUAGCGGCGGACGGGUGAGUAACACGUGGAUAACCUACCUAUAAGACUGGGAUAACUUCGGGAAACCGGAGCUAAUACCGGAUAAUAUUUUGAACCGCAUGGUUCAAAAGUGAAAGACGGUCUUGCUGUCACUUAUAGAUGGAUCCGCGCUGCAUUAGCUAGUUGGUAAGGUAACGGCUUACCAAGGCAACGAUGCAUAGCCGACCUGAGAGGGUGAUCGGCCACACUGGAACUGAGACACGGUCCAGACUCCUACGGGAGGCAGCAGUAGGGAAUCUUCCGCAAUGGGCGAAAGCCUGACGGAGCAACGCCGCGUGAGUGAUGAAGGUCUUCGGAUCGUAAAACUCUGUUAUUAGGGAAGAACAUAUGUGUAAGUAACUGUGCACAUCUUGACGGUACCUAAUCAGAAAGCCACGGCUAACUACGUGCCAGCAGCCGCGGUAAUACGUAGGUGGCAAGCGUUAUCCGGAAUUAUUGGGCGUAAAGCGCGCGUAGGCGGUUUUUUAAGUCUGAUGUGAAAGCCCACGGCUCAACCGUGGAGGGUCAUUGGAAACUGGAAAACUUGAGUGCAGAAGAGGAAAGUGGAAUUCCAUGUGUAGCGGUGAAAUGCGCAGAGAUAUGGAGGAACACCAGUGGCGAAGGCGACUUUCUGGUCUGUAACUGACGCUGAUGUGCGAAAGCGUGGGGAUCAAACAGGAUUAGAUACCCUGGUAGUCCACGCCGUAAACGAUGAGUGCUAAGUGUUAGGGGGUUUCCGCCCCUUAGUGCUGCAGCUAACGCAUUAAGCACUCCGCCUGGGGAGUACGACCGCAAGGUUGAAACUCAAAGGAAUUGACGGGGACCCGCACAAGCGGUGGAGCAUGUGGUUUAAUUCGAAGCAACGCGAA
rnacentral:rRNA from 1 species